rnacentral:rRNA from 1 species
AUGAGUCUCCUUGUUUGGAACUGCCGGGGGGCGGGGAACCGCCGGACAGUUCGAGAGGUGCUGGCCCUCGUAAAAGCUAACGUCCCCAGUUUUGUCUUUCUUAGCGAGACAAGACAAGUGUCGGAGAAGAUGGAGAAACUAAAGUGGAGACUUGGUAUGAAGGGAUUUUGUGAAGGUCGGAGCGGUGGGUUAGCUUUGUUUUGA